UACGGAGGGGGCUAGCGUUACUCGGAAUUAUUGGGCGUAAAGGGCGCGUAGGCGGUCGUGUGCGUCAGAGGUGAAAUCCCCGGGCUUAACCCGGGAGCUGCCUCUGAUACGGCAUGGCUUGAGUCCGGGAGAGGAGAGCAGAAUUCCCAGUGUAGCGGUGAAAUGCGUAGAUAUUGGGAGGAAUACCAGUGGCGAAGGCGGCUCUCUGGACCGGUACUGACGCUGAGACGCGAAAGCGUGGGGAGCGAACAGG
rnacentral:rRNA from 1 species